rnacentral:rRNA from 1 species
UUGAGUUUGAUCCUGGCUCAGGAUGAACGCUGGCGGCGUGCCUAAUACAUGCAAGUCGAGCGAACCACUUCGGUGGGAAGCGGCGAACGGGUGAGUAACACGUAGGUGAUCUGCCCAUCAGACGGGGACAACGAUUGGAAACGAUCGCUAAUACCGGAUAGGACGAAAGUUUAAAGAUGCUCCUGGCAUCACUGAUGGAUGAGCCUGCGGCGCAUUAGCUAGUUGGUGGGGUAAAGGCCUACCAAGGCGACGAUGCGUAGCCGACCUGAGAGGGUGAACGGCCACACUGGGACUGAGACACGGCCCAGACUCCUACGGGAGGCAGCAGUAGGGAAUCUUCGGCAAUGGGCGAAAGCCUGACCGAGCAACGCCGCGUGAAUGAAGAAGGCCUUCGGGUUGUAAAAUUCUGUUAUAAGGGAAGAAAGGUGAUAGGAGGAAAUGACUAUCAAUUGACGGUACCUUAUGAGAAAGCCACGGCUAACUACGUGCCAGCAGCCGCGGUAAUACGUAGGUGGCAAGCGUUAUCCGGAAUUAUUGGGCGUAAAGAGCGCGCAGGUGGUUAAUUAAGUCUGAUGUGAAAGCCCACGGCUUAACCGUGGAGGGUCAUUGGAAACUGGUUGACUUGAGUGCAGAAGAGGGAAGUGGAAUUCCAUGUGUAGCGGUGAAAUGCGUAGAGAUAUGGAGGAGCACCAGUGGCGAA